rnacentral:siRNA from 1 species
CCCAAGGCUCGCUUCGGCG